AAUCCAUGGUUUGAACAUUUUUUUAAUAAUGCUUUAUAUCUCUCCCAAGCUUCACAGAAGUGUUCAUCAACUCCUUGGGAGAAAGUUUCAAUAACAUCCUUUUCAAU